UAGUCAAACUUUUGAAAAAUGUUUGAGCGUGCUGAAAUUAAAUUCACAGCUAUAAAAUUAUAGAAUAAAAUGCAAAAAGUGCAGUCAUGUUUGCUCAUUCUUUUUUAUUCAACGGCUGCGGCCGGUAAUUAUAUCCAAUCCAAUGCGGAUGUAUGAAAAUCCGACUCGAUCGACCAGUUAGUCGCUGCAACGCAUUUCACAACGUGCGCCGGUGCGGCGAGCAACUCUUUUUUAUUGUAUUACGAUAUGUUUGCUUUAGUGAAGUUUCUCAAAGAAUUCGACAAGAACCGGCUUUACGUUGGGACUGCCAGUUCGAUUUUAGACUUUCAUCCUCGCAGCACAGAGGAUUUUAACAACAGGACUGUGUACUCGGUAUUCUGGGUUGACGAAGAGAACCACGAGAAUACGCGGGCCUACGAGGCCCAAGUUCUGCUGCUGGCCGAAUCCCGGGAGGUGCUGGAAAAUAAGAAGUCGACCAAGAGAGUGCCCAUGCCAAAAAUACAAAUGGAAGACGACAGUGAGGAUGAAAGGCCUAGUGCCAAGAAGCAAGACAAGCAGGUAUAACAAAAGCGCAAAAUUGCGCAAGCAAAUGCAAAAACUGCAAACUAUAGUAGUAUUCUGGCAAAGCAUGUGCAAAAUGCAAAAAAAAAAGCCAGGGGUGAGUCAUGCAGCCAGCCCAAUCAACAAAGCCAUGAAAGUGUUUCUGUACACUGUGUAUUUGCAAGUGAUAAUCAUCUCAUUGAUUCAAUUUUUCAGAGCCUGAAAUCCAAUUGGGAGUGCAACAGUUCAUCAUCUGAGGAUGAAUCUCUGAUAUCCGAGUCAGAGCUGCAAAAAGAAAUAGCCAAAAAAAUGUAGAAAGAAAUAGCUCAAAAAUGAAAAAAAGAAUCAAAUCUUGCUGGAGCAAGUGGCAUCACUCCAGCGGUGCUUAGAAAGCAAAAUAUUUCAAGUGGAAGGCAUUCAUGCCAAGCAGGAGCAUAAUGCCAAAGGCCAUGACAGGAUGGGUGAGCUACUUUAUUUCUUCUGUACUUCUGGGACGAUUUAUGGAACACUUGUAUUAUUUCUAAGCAACUCUGUUUUCUUUAGUGCUUUACUAAGUGUUUUACUGUACUUCAUUCCAGAACAAGCCACUUGCACCAGGCAAGAUUAGUACAUGGAGAGCUGUGGUUUGGCAGAAAAUAUUUUUUUGCUUCGCUUUGUGUGAUUAUAGCCUUAAUUACUAGGAAGAUAAACUUUUUAUAAUGACCUAAAAUUCUAAUAUCUAAGCACAAUGAUUUGAUGCUUUUUCUGCAGAAGCAGAUCACGUAGGACAAAGUCCAAUGACAGAAGGUAAGCGCUUUCAGUUCCUCUCACAUUCAGCUAAAAGCAUUUUUAGGCAAAUGAAUUUUCAGUAAACUCUUUACAGAGAUGUGUGCCUGUGUCAUAUGGGCACUCUUGAGCCAAAAGCCUUUGAAAAAUGAUUCUGAAGAAAGGUAGAGAGCAUAUGAACACAUAACCCGUUGCAGACGCUCAGUGGAGAUGGAAUUCUGCUGCUGAGCACAAGUUCACAACUUCGACUCCUGGCAAUAGUGGUCGCAUUCCUAUUCGGACAGUAAAAAUGCUCGUGUACCGUGCUUCGGGUGCACGUUAAAUAACGGCCAUGUGACCAAAGUUAAUCCAAAGCCCUCCACUACUCCA
rnacentral:misc_RNA from 1 species